GGUAGGAUGGCCGAGUGGUCUAAGGCGGUUGAUUCAAGUAUAUGUUGAAUAUUUCGGCGAUUUCGCCGGUUCCCAACUUAUCCUGGGUUCGAAUCCCAGUUCUACCA